CCGUUUUUCUUUUUGACUACUACGGGGUUGGCGAGCCAGUCCGGGUAUCUUACUUCCGUUAUCGACCCAACUUUAAGCAGUUUUUCGACCUCAUCGUUUACUGCGGCAGCACGUUCGGGUCCCAGCUUCCGUCUUUUCUGUUUGACGGGUUUGAAUGUUGGGUCGAUAUUCAGCUCGUGACAUGUUAUGUUAAUGUCGAUUCCUGGCAUAUCUUCCGCAGCCCAUGCGAAAGUAUUAAGGUUCUUUUUAAGACAGG
rnacentral:lncRNA from 1 species